AUGGUUGCUGCUGUGGUCGUGCCCGAUGCAGUUGCUGGCAAUGCUGAUGUCACUGGUAAAAAUGUAGAAGCUUUGGGUGUAGUAGCCGACUCUACUAAGCCUGUUGUUGUUGUCACUGUAUUUUCUGUUGUAGUUAUCCUGAUUGUUUUCUGUUCAUUGCUAACAGUUGCUGAUGUGGUUUUGUCCAGUGCAGUUGCAUGCAAAGCUGAUGUUACUGGUGCAAAUGUAGAAGUUCUUGCUGUAGUAGCAGACACUAUUCGGCCUGUUGUUGUUGUCACUGUAUUUCCAGUUGUAGCUAUCCUGAUUGUUUCCGGUUCAUUGCUAACAGUUGCUGAUGUGGUUGUGCCCAAUGCAGUUGCUGGCAAUGCUGAUGUCACCGGUGCAAAUGUAGAAGCUUUGGGUGUAGUAGCAGACUCUACUAGAACUGUUGUUGUUGUCACUGUAUUUUCUGUUGUAGUUAUACUGAUUGUUUCCGGUACAUUGCUAAUAGUUGCUGAUGUGGUUGUGCCCAAUGCAGUUGCAUGUAAAGCAGAUGUCACUGGUACAAACGUAGAAGCUUUAGUUGUAGUAGUAGACUCUACUAGGCCUGUUGUCAUUGUCAAUGUAUCUUCUGUGGUAGCUAUCCUGAUUGUUUCCGGUUCAUUGCUAACAGUUGCUGAUGUGGUUGUGCCCAAUGCAGUUGCCGGCAAAGCUGAUGUUACUGGUGCAAAUGUAGAAUUUUUUGCUGUAGAAGCAGACACUUUUUGGCCUGUUGAUGUUGUCACUGUAUUUUCUGUUGUAGUUAUGCUGACUGUUUCCGGUACAUUGCUAACAGUUGCUGAUGUGGUUGUGCCCAAUGCAGUUGCAUGUAAAGCAGACGUCACAGGUACAAAUGUAGAAGCUUUAGGUGUAGAAGCAGACUCUACUAGGCCUGUUGUCAUUGUCACUGUAUCUUCUGUUGUAGUUAUCCUGAUUGUUUCUGGCUCAUUGCUAACAGUUGCUGAUGUGGUUAUGCCCAAUGCAGUUGCUGGCAAUGCUGAUGUCACCGGUACCAAGGUAGAAGCUUUGGGUGUAGUAGCAGACUCUACUAGGCCUGUUGUUGUUGACACUGUAUUUUCUGUUGCAGUUAUCCUGAUUGUUUCCGGUUCAUUGUUAACAAUUGCUGAUGUGGCUGUGCCCAAUGCAGUUGCUGGCAAGGCUGAUGUCACUUGUAGAAAUGUAGAAGCUUUGGGUGUAGUAGCCGAAUCUACUAGGUCUGUUGUUGUUGUCACUGUAUUUCCUGUUGUAGCUAUCCUGAUUGUUUCCGGUUCAUUGCUAACAGUUGCUGAUGUGGUUGUGCCCAAUGCAGUUGCCGGCAAAGCUGAUGUUGCUGGUGCAAAUGUAGAAGUUUUUGCUGUAGAAGCAGACACUAUUCGGCCUGUUGAUGUUGUCACUGUAUUUUCUGUUGCAGUUAUCCUGAUUGUUUCCAGUCCAUUGCUAACAGUUGCUGAUGUGGUUGUGCCCAAUGCAGAUGCUGGCAAAGCUGAUGUUACUGGUGCAAAUGUAGAAGUUUUUGCUGUAGUAGCAGACACUAUUCGGCCUGUUGAUGUUGUCCCUGUAUUUCCAGUUGUAGCUAUCCUGAUUGUUUCCUGUUCAUUGCUAAGAGUUGCUGAUGUGGUUGUGCCCAAUUCAGUUUCUGACAAAGCUGAUGUUAAUGGUGCAAAUGUAGAAGUUUUUGCUGUAGUAGCAGACACUAUUCGGCCUGUUGUUGUUGUCACUGUAUUUUCUGUUGUAGUUAUACUGAUUGUUUCCGGUACAUUACUAACAGUUGCUGAUGUGGUUGUGCCCAAUGCAGUUGCUGGCAAUGCUGAUGUCACCGGUACCAAGGUAGAAGCUUUGGGUGUAGUAGCCGACUCUACUAGGCCUGUUGUUGUUGUCUCUGUAUUUUCUGUUGUAGUUAUACUGAUUGUUUCCGGUACAUUACUAACAGUUGCUGAUGUGGUUGUGCCCAAUGCAGUUGCAUGUAAAGCAGAUGUCACUGGUACAAAUGUAGAAGCUUUGGGUGUACUAGCAGACUGUACUACACCUGUUGUUGUCACUGUAUCUUCUGUUGUAGCUAUCCUGAUUGUUUCCUGUUUAUUGCUAAGAGUUGCUGAUGUGGUUGUACUCAAUGCAGUUGCUGGCAAAGCUGAUGUCACUGGUAAAAAUGUAGAAGCUUUGGGUCUAGUAGCAGACUCUACUAGACCUGUUGUUGUUGUCACUGAAUCAUCUGUUGUAGUUAUCCUUAUUGUUUCUGGCUCAUUGCUAACAGUUGCUGAUGUGGUUGUGCCCAAUGCAGUUGCUGGCAAUGCUGAUGUCACUUGUAGAAAUGUAGAAGCUUUGGGUGUAUUUGCCGACUCUACUAGGCCUGUUGUUGUUCUCACUGCAUUUCCUGUUGUAGCUAUCCUGAUUGUUUCCGGUUCAUUGCUAAUAGUUGCUGAUGUGGUUGUGCCCAGUGCAGUUGCUGGCAAUACUGAUGUCACCUGUCCAAAUGUAGAAGCUUUGGGUGUAGUAGGAGACUCUAUUAAGCCUGUUGUUGUUGUCACUGUGUCUUCUGUUGUAGUUAUCCUGAUUGUUUCCUGUUCAUUGCUAAGAGUUGCUGAUGUGGUUGGGCCCAAUGCAGUUGCUGGCAAAGCUGAUGUUACUGGUGCAAAUGUAGAAGUUUUUGCUGUAGUAGCAGACACUAUUCGGCCUGUUGAUGUUGUCACUGUAUUUCCGGAUGUAGCUAUCCUGAUUGUUUCCAGUCCAUUGCUAACAGUUGCUGAUGUGGUUGUGCCCAAUGCAGUUGCAUGUAAAGCAGAUGUCACUGGUACAAAUGUAGAAGCUUUGGGUGUACUAGCAGACUGUACUACACCUGUUGUUGUCAAUGUAUCUUCUGUUGUAGCUAUCCUGAUUGUUUCCUGUUUAUUGCUAAGAGUUGCUGAUGUGGUUGUGCUCAAUGCAGUUGCUGGCAAUGCUGAUGUCACCUGUCCAAAUGUAGAAGCUUUGGGUGUAGUAGGAGACUCUAUUAAGCCUGUUGUUGUUGUCACUGUGUCUUCUGUUGUAGCUAUCCUGAUUGUUUCCUGUUCAUUGCUAAGAGUUGCUGAUGUGGUUGUGCCCAGUGCAGUUGCUGGCAAAGCUGAUGUUUCUGGUGCAAAUGUAGAAGUUUUUGCUGUAGUACCAGACACUCUUCGGCCUGUUGUUGUUGUCACUGAAUCCUCUGUUGUAGUUAUCCUUAUUGUUUCUGGCUCAUUGCUAACAGUUGCUGAUGUGGUUGUGCUCAAUGCAGUUGCUGGCAAAGCUGAUGUCACUGGUAAAAAAGUAGAAGCUUUGGGUGUAGUAGCAGACUCUACUAGGCCUGAUGUUGUUGUCUCUGUAUUUUCUGUUGCAGUUAUAAUGAUUGUUUCCAGUCUAUUGCUAACAGUUGCUGAUGUGGUUGUGCCCAAUGCAGAUGCUGGCAAAGCUGAUGUUACUGGUGCAAAUGUAGAAGUUCUUGCUGUAGUAGCAGACACUAUUCGGCCUGUUGUUGUUGUCACUGUAUUUCCAGUUGUAUCUAUCCUGAUUGUUUCCGGUUCUUUGCUAACAGUUGCUGAUGUGGUUGUGCCCAAUGCAGUUGCUGGCAAUGCUGAUGUCACCGGUGCAAAUGUAGAAGCUUUGGGUGUAGUAGCAGACUCUACCAAGCCUGUUGUUGUUGUCACUGUAUUUUCUGUUGUAGUUAUACUGAUUGUUUCCGGUACAUUGCUAAUAGUUGCUGAUGUGGUUGUGCCCAAUGCAGUUGCAUGUAAAGCAGAUGUCACUGGUACAAACGUAGAAGCUUUAGUUGUAGUAGCAGACUCUACUAGGCCUGUUGUCAUUGUCAAUGUAUCUUCUGUUGUAGUUAUUCUGAUUGUUUCCGGCUCAUUGCUACCAGUUGCUGAUGUGGUUGUGCCCAAUGCAGUUGCUGGCAAUGCUGAUGUUACUUGUAGAAAUGUAGAAGCUUUGGGUGUAGUAGCCGACUCUACUAGGCCUGUUGUUGUUGUCACUGUAUUUCCUGUUGUAGCUAUCCUGAUUGUUUCCGGUUCAUUGCUAACAGUUGCUGAUGUGGUUGUGCCCAAUGCAGUUGCUGGCAAAACUGAUGUUACCGGUGCAAAUGUAGAAGUUUUUGCUGUAGAAGCAGACACUAUUCGGCCUGUUGAUGUUGUCACUGUAUUUUCUGUUGUAGUUAUACUGAUUGUUUCCGGUACAUUGCUAACAGUUGCUGAUGUGGUUGUGCCCAAUGCAGUUGCUGGCAAAGCUGAUGUCACUGGUAAAAAUGUAGAAGCUUUGGGUCUAGUAGCAGACUCUACUAGACCUGUUGUUGUUGUCACUGUAUCUUCUGUUGUAGUUAUCCUGAUAGUUUCUGGCUCAUUGCUAACAGUUGCUGGUGUGGUUGUGCCCAAUGCAGUUGCUGGCAAUGCUGAUUUCACCGGUACCAAGGUAGAAGCUUUGGGUGUAGUAGCAGACUCUACUAGGCCUGUUGUUGUUGUCUCUGUAUUUUCUGUUGCAGUUAUCCUGAUUGUUUCCAGUCCAUUGCUAACAGUUGCUGAUGUGGUUGUGCCCAAUGCAGAUGCUGGCAAAGCUGAUGUUACUGGUGCAAAUGUAGAAGUUUUUGCUGUAGUAGCAGACACUAUUUGGCCUGUUGUUGUUGUUGUCACUGUAUCUUCUGUUGUAGUUAUCCUGAUAGUUUCUGGCUCAUUGCUAACAGUUGCUGGUGUGGUUGUGCCCAAUGCAGUUGCUGGCAAUGCUGAUUUCACCGGUACCAAGGUAGAAGCUUUGGGUGUAGUAGCAGACUCUACUAGGCCUGUUGUUGUUGUCUCUGUAUUUUCUGUUGCAGUUAUCCUGAUUGUUUCCAGUCCAUUGCUAACAGUUGCUGAUGUGGUUGUGCCCAAUGCAGAUGCUGGCAAAGCUGAUGUUACUGGUGCAAAUGUAGAAGUUUUUGCUGUAGUAGCAGACACUAUUUGGCCUGUUGAUGCUGUCACUGUAUUUCCGGUUGUAGCUAUCCUGAUUGUUUCCGAUUCAUUGCUAACAGUUGCUGAUGUGGUUGUGCCCAAUGCAGUUGCUGGCAAUGCUGAUGUUACCUGUGCAAAUGUAGAAUCGUUGGGUGUAGUAGCAGACUCUACUAAGCCUGUUGUUGUUGUUGUCACUGAAUCUUCUGUUGUACUUAUCCUGAUUGUUUCCGAUUCAUUGCUAACAGUUGCUGAUGUGGUUGUGCCCAGUGCAGUUGCUGGCAAUACUGAUGUUACUGGUGCAAAUGUAGAAGUUUUUGCUGUAGUAGCAGACACUAAUAGGCCUGUUGAUGUUGUCGCUGUAUUUUCUGUUGUAGUUGUCCUGAUUGUUUCAAGUCCAUUGCUAACAGUUGCUGAUGUGGUUGUGCCCAAUGCAGUUGCAUGUAAAACAGAUGUCACUGGUACAAAUGUAGAAGCUUUGGGUGUACUAGCAGACUGUACUACACCUGUUGUUGUCACUGUAUCUUCUGUUGGAGUUAUCUUGAUUGUUUCCAGUCCAUUGCUAACAGUUGCUGAUGUGGUUGUGCCCAAUGCAGAUGCUGGCAAAACUGAUGUUACUAGUGAAAAUGUAGAAGUUUUUGCUGUAGUAGCAGACACUAUUCGGCCUGUUGAUAUUGUCACUGUAUUUCCUGUUGUAGCAAUCCUGAUUGUUUCCUGUUCAUUGCUAAGAGUUGCUGAUGUGGUUGUGCCCAGUGCAGCUGCUGGCAAAGCUGAUGUUUCUGGUGCAACUGUAGAAGUCUUUGCUGUAGUACUAGACCCUCUUCGGCCUGUUGUUGUUGUCACUGUAUUUCCUGUUGUAGCUAUCCUGAUUGUUUCCUGUUCAUUGCUAAGAGUUGCUGAUGUGGUUGUGCCCAAUGCAGUUGCAUGUAAAGCAGAUGUCACUGGUACAAAUGUAGAAGCUUUGGGUGUAGUAGCAGACUCUACUAGGCCUGUUGUCGUUGUCACUGUAUCUUCUGUUGUAGUUAUUCUGAUUGUUUCUGGCUCAUUGAUAACAGUUGCUGAUGUGGUUGUGCUCAAUGCAGAUGCUGGCAAAGCUGAUGUUACUGGUGCAAAUGUAGAAGUUUUUGCUGUAGUAGCAGACACUAUUCGGCCUGUUGUUGUUGUCACUGUAUUUCCUGUUGUAGCUAUCCUGAUUGUUUCCGGUUCAUUGCUAACAGUUGCUGAUGUGGUUGUGCCCAAUGCAGUUGCUGGCAAAGCUGAUGUUACUGGUGCAAAUGUAGAAGUUUUUGCUGUAGAAGCAGACACUAUUCGGCCUGUUGAUGUUGUCACUGUAUUUUCUGUUGUAGUUAUGCUGAUUGUUUCCGGUACAUUGCUAACAGUUGCUGAUGUGGUUGUGCCCAAUGCAGUUGCAUGUAAAGCAGAUGUCACAGGUACAAAUGUUGAAGCUUUGGGUGUAGAAGCAGACUCUACUAGGCCUGUUGUUGUUGUCACUGUAUCGUCUGUUGUAGUUAUCCUGAUUGUUUCCUGUUCAUUGCUAAGAGUUACUGAUGUGGUUGUGCCCAAUGCAGUUGCUGGAAAAGCUGAUGUUACUGGUGCAAAUGUAGAAGUUUUUGCUGUAGAAGCAGACACUAUUCGGCCUGUUGAUGUUGUCACUGUAUUUUCUGUUGUAGUUAUACUGAUUGUUUCCGGUACAUUGCUAACAGUUGCUGAUGUGGUUGUGCCCAAUGCAGUUGCUGGCAAAGCUGAUGUCACUGGUAAAAAUGUAGAAGCUUUGGGUCUAGUAGCAGACUCUACUAGACCUGUUGUUGUUGUCACUGUAUCUUCUUUUGUAGUUAUCCUGAUAGUUUCUGGCUCAUUGCUAACCGUUGCUGGUGUGGUUGUGCCCAAUGCAGUUGCUGGCAAUGCUGAUGUCACCCGUACCAAGGUAGAAGCUUUGGGUGUAGUAGCAGACUCUACUAGGCCUGUUGUUGUUGUCUCUGUAUUUUCUGUUGCAGUUAUCCUGAUUGUUUCCAGUCCAUUGCUAACAGUUGCUGAUGUGGUUGUGCCCAAUGCAGUUAGUGGCAAAGCUGAUGUCACUGGUGCAAAAGUAGAAGCUUUGGGUCUAGUAGCAGACUCUGCUAGAACUGUUGUUGUUGUCACUGUAUCUUCUGUUGUAGUUAUCCUGAUUGUUUCUGGUUGGUUGCUAACAGUUGCUGAUGUGCUUGUGUCCAAUGCAGUUGACGGCAAUGCUGAUCUCAGUGGUACAAAAGUAGAAUCUUUGGGUGUAGUAGCAGACUCUUUUAGGCCUGUUAUUGUUGUCACUGUAUCUUCUAUUGUAGUUAUCCUGAUUGUUUCUGGCUCAUUGCUAACAGUUGCUGAUAUGGUUGUGCCCAAUGCAGUUGCUGGCAAUGCUGAUGUCACUGGUAAAAUUGUGGAAGCUUUGGGUGUAGUAGCAGACUCUUUUAGGCCUGUUGUUGUUGUCACUGGAUCUUCUGUUGUAGUUAUCCUGAUUUUUUCUGGCUCAUUGCUAACAGUUGCUGAUGUGGUUGUGCCCAAUGCAGUUGCUGGCAAAGUUGAUGUCACUUGUAGAAAUGUAGAAGCUUUGGGUGUAGUAGCAGACUCUACUUGGCCUGUUGAUAUUGUCACUGUAUCUUCUAUUGUAGUUAUCCUGAUUGUUUCUGGCUCAUUGCUAACAGUUCCUGAUAUGGUUGUGCCCAAUGCAGUUGCUGGCAAUGCUGAUGUCACUGGUAAAAUUGUGGAAGCUUUGGGUGUAGUAGCAGACUCUACUAGACCUGUUGUUGUUUUCACUGUAUCUUCUGUUGUAGUUAUCCUGAUUGUUUCCGGCUCAUUGCUAACAGUUGCUGAUGUGGUUGUGCCCAGUGCAGUUGUUGGCAAUGCUGAUGUCACCUGUACAAAUGUAGAAGCUUUGGGUGUAGUAGCAGACUCUAUUAGGCCUGUUGUUGUUGUCGCUGUAUCUUCUGUUGUAGUUAUUCUGAUUGUUUCUCGCUCUUUGCUAACAGUUGCUGAGGUGGUUGUGCCUAUUGCAGUUGCUGGAAAUGCUGAUGUUGAUUCUAUUGAUGUUAACAUAGUUGCACUUCUUGUCUCUGCAGCUGUAAAUAUAUCAUUAGAUGAUGGUAUUUUUGUUGUUGGUGAUGCUGUUUCUGUUUCAGACACUGUUGUUUUACUUGGUGUUAUUGGAUCAGUUUUGGCUGUUAAAAGUUCUGUUGUGACUUGAGGAGAUGAUGCAGAUUGUAAUGCACUGAUUGUCACUGCCUCUGUUGUAGCUACUGUUUGUGUAGGCUGAAGUGUUGCCAUUACCCCUAUAGGUAUCAAAUAUAAAUCAAGUUAGUGUACAAUGUUAACAAUUGAAAAGAUUUUAAAAUAUUAUAAUUUAAUAUUAAUAUAAUAUUAAUAUAAUUUAAUAUUUGAAUGUAAUAUUAAUUAAGAUUA
ensembl:lncRNA